rnacentral:rRNA from 1 species
ACGCUGGCGGUAGGCCUAACACAUGCAAGUCGAACGGCAGCACAGUAAGAGCUUGCUCUUACGGGUGGCGAGUGGCGGACGGGUGAGGAAUACAUCGGAAUCUACCUUUUCGUGGGGGAUAACGUAGGGGAACUUACGCUAAUACCGCAUACGACCUUCGGGUGAAAGCAGGGGACCUUCGGGCCUUGCGCGGAUAGAUGAGCCGAUGUCGGAUUAGCUAGUUGGCGGGGUAAAGGCCCACCAAGGCGACGAUCCGUAGCUGGUCUGAGAGGAUGAUCAGCCACACUGGAACUGAGACACGGUCCAGACUCCUACGGGAGGCAGCAGUGGGGAAUAUUGGACAAUGGGCGCAAGCCUGAUCCAGCCAUACCGCGUGGGUGAAGAAGGCCUUCGGGUUGUAAAGCCCUUUUGUUGGGAAAGAAAAGCAAUCGAUUAAUACUCGGUUGUUCUGACGGUACCCAAAGAAUAAGCACCGGCUAACUUCGUGCCAGCAGCCGCGGUAAUACGAAGGGUGCAAGCGUUACUCGGAAUUACUGGGCGUAAAGCGUGCGUAGGUGGUUGUUUAAGUCUGUUGUGAAAGCCCUGGGCUCAACCUGGGAAUUGCAGUGGAUACUGGGCAACUAGAGUGUGGUAGAGGGUAGUGGAAUUCCCGGUGUAGCAGUGAAAUGCGUAGAGAUCGGGAGGAACAUCCAUGGCGAAGGCAGCUACCUGGACCAACACUGACACUGAGGCACGAAAGCGUGGGGAGCAAAC